GCUGCCGUCGACUUCCCUGAGACACUGGGGUCAACACCCGGCAGUGGACGUACACUUCAGACUAUCAGGUGGACCUUGGCAAAGGCCUAGUACCUGACUGCCCCCUAGCCAGGGAUACGGUGAAGACCUCAACCGCGGAGCAGGCGGAAGCCGGCAGAUGUAAGAACUACCACAACGGCUGUGAUGGCGGAAGAAAACACCCCCACAUCCAUGUGGGCCCAGUUAUGGGGAAAUAACAACCCAAGUCCUCAAUGGUGGAACAGGCGAAGGAUGACUGCUAACACAUGGAGCAUCACAACGGCUGGGAUGGCGGAUUAAGGCGGCAGCAGAAAAGGGUCCCCAGUCGUCUUGGACUCCAUGCCACUGGACCCUGACCCGGAUCUGUCAAGGAUCGUGUGGUGACCUAUCUGUGCACCAGUCUCCCCACGUUAAACAAAGUCACGCACAGGCAUCCUCCAUAAAGGGAUAUCCCCCAACAGGAGGAUCGUCAUACUCACUUCGAGUGACCGCCAAUGAUCAGCAGACUAAUUAGGAGCUUUUGGGUACUCGUUUUAAAAUAUUGGUAUUGGGACAACCCUACUGUGUGUAUAUGAAUACAUAAAUAUAUUUUGUUUUAUCCAUCAA